GGUUUGCACCACAAUUUAUACGACGAUCAACAGCGAAAUACAUGAGAUAUGCCCAACAACAGAUGGCUAAGUUCCCAGUUCGUUUCCUCGCAAUUACCAACAAAAAUUCAGUAUUGUACUAUAACUAACAUCCUACACAAUAUUUGCUUCACCAACUUGUAUCUAAAUGGGCAUAAUCUUUAACCAUCAAUAUUUCGCUACAUAGUUUUUUAGGAACUUGAUUCAGGUCUUCUCCUUCUUGCCAUGCUUGCCCGACCAUAACACCGGGCCCUACAUUCCUUACAUAUAUCACAACGGCAUCAUUGAACGGCGAUGGAUGUUAACCUGGCUUUGGAAACCCUUGAGGAUACUCCUGUAAAUCCAAAAGCCCAUCCCCAAAUUCAUAUGCCAUAUCACAAGGCUCCUCUGUUGACAUCACUUCAUUAA
rnacentral:lncRNA from 1 species